GACGAACGCUGGCGGCGUGCUUAACACAUGCAAGUCGAACGGAAAGACCCUGCUUUUGUGGGGUGCUCGAGUGGCGAACGGGUGAGUAACACGUGAGUAACCUGCCCUUGACUUUGGGAUAACUUCAGGAAACUGGGGCUAAUACCGGAUAGGAGCUCCUGCUGCAUGGUGGGGGUUGGAAAGUUUCGGCGGUUGGGGAUGGAUUCGCGGCUUAUCAGCUUGUUGGUGGGGUAGUGGCUUACCAAGGCUUUGACGGGUAGCCGGCCUGAGAGGGUGACCGGCCACAUUGGGACUGAGAUACGGCCCAGACUCCUACGGGAGGCAGCAGUGGGGAAUAUUGCACAAUGGGCGGAAGCCUGAUGCAGCAACGCCGCGUGCGGGAUGACGGCCUUCGGGUUGUAAACCGCUUUCGCCUGUGACGAAGCGUGAGUGACGGUAAUGGGUAAAGAAGCACCGGCUAACUACGUG
rnacentral:rRNA from 1 species